rnacentral:rRNA from 1 species
UACAUGUGGGGCAAGCGUUGUUCGGAAUUACUGGGCAUAAAGGGUGCGUAGGCGGCUCGUUUAGUCACUGGUGAAAGUUUUCGGCCCAACCGGAAAAUUGCCUGUGAUACUGGCGAGCUCGAGUGCGUGAGGGGUUGGGGGAACGAGCAGUGUAGCGGUGAAAUGCGUAGAUAUUGCUCGGAAGGCCGGAGCCGAAGGGGCCCAACUGGUACGCAACUGACGCUGAGGCACGAAAGCGUGGGGAGCAAACAGG